AGAGUUUGAUCCUGGCUCAGGAUGAACGCUGGCGGCGUGCCUAAUACAUGCAAGUCGAGCGAACGGACGAGAAGCUUGCUUUUCUGAUGUUAGCGGCGGACGGGUGAGUAACACGUGGAUAACCUACCUAUAAGACUGGGAUAACUUCGGGAAACCGUAGCUAAUACCGGAUAAUAUUUUGAACCGCAUGGUUCAAAAGUGAAAGACGGUCUUGCUGUCACUUAUAGAUGGAUCCGCGCUGCAUUAGCUAGUUGGUAAGGUAACGGCUUACCAAGGCAACGAUGCAUAGCCGACCUGAGAGGGUGAUCGGCCACACUGGAACUGAGACACGGUCCAGACUCCUACGGGAGGCAGCAGUAGGGAAUCUUCCGCAAUGGGCGAAAGCCUGACGGAGCAACGCCGCGUGAGUGAUGAAGGUCUUCGGAUCGUAAAACUCUGUUAUUAGGGAAGAACAUAUGUGUAAGUAACUGUGCACAUCUUGACGGUACCUAAUCAGAAAGCCACGGCUAACUACGUGCCAGCAGCCGCGGUAAUACGUAGGUGGCAAGCGUUAUCCGGAAUUAUUGGGCGUAAAGCGCGCGUAGGCGGUUUUUUAAGUCUGAUGUGAAAGCCCACGGCUCAACCGUGGAGGGUCAUUGGAAACUGGAAAACUUGAGUGCAGAAGAGGAAAGUGGAAUUCCAUGUGUAGCGGUGAAAUGCGCAGAGAUAUGGAGGAACACCAGUGGCGAAGGCGACUUUCUGGUCUGUAACUGACGCUGAUGUGCGAAAGCGUGGGGAUCAAACAGGAUUAGAUACCCUGGUAGUCCACGCCGUAAACGAUGAGUGCUAAGUGUUAGGGGGUUUCCGCCCCUUAGUGCUGCAGCUAACGCAUUAAGCACUCCGCCUGGGGAGUACGACCGCAAGGUUGAAACUCAAAGGAAUUGACGGGGACCCGCACAAGCGGUGGAGCAUGUGGUUUAAUUCGAAGCAACGCGAAGAACCUUACCAAAUCUUGACAUCCUUUGACAACUCUAGAGAUAGAGCUUUCCCCUUCGGGGGACAAAGUGACAGGUGGUGCAUGGUUGUCGUCAGCUCGUGUCGUGAGAUGUUGGGUUAAGUCCCGCAACGAGCGCAACCCUUAAGCUUAGUUGCCAUCAUUAAGUUGGGCACUCUAAGUUGACUGCCGGUGACAAACCGGAGGAAGGUGGGGAUGACGUCAAAUCAUCAUGCCCCUUAUGAUUUGGGCUACACACGUGCUACAAUGGACAAUACAAAGGGCAGCGAAACCGUGAGGUCAAGCAAAUCCCAUAAAGUUGUUCUCAGUUCGGAUUGUAGUCUGCAACUCGACUACAUGAAGCUGGAAUCGCUAGUAAUCGUAGAUCAGC
rnacentral:rRNA from 1 species